AACGAACGCUGGCGGCAUGCCUAACACAUGCAAGUCGAACGAGACCUUCGGGUCUAGUGGCGCACGGGUGCGUAACGCGUGGGAACCUGCCCUUAGGUUCGGAAUAACUCCCCGAAAGGGGUGCUAAUACCGGAUAAUGUCUUCGGACCAAAGAUUUAUCGCCUUUGGAUGGGCCCGCGUUGGAUUAGCUAGUUGGUAGGGUAAAAGCCUACCAAGGCGACGAUCCAUAGCUGGUCUGAGAGGAUGAUCAGCCACACUGGGACUGAGACACGGCCCAGACGAGGCGGAGAGGAGGCAGGGGGGAAUAGAAGAAGGGGGGAAAACGGAUAAAGCAGCAGGGGCGUGGGAGUGAAGAAGCCCGUGGGGUUAUAAUGCACGUGGGCGGGGGAUGAAAAGGACAGUACGGGAAGAAUAAGCCGCGGCACACUCCGGACCAGCAGCCGAGGAAAUAAGAGAAGCUCAACGUUUCAUC
rnacentral:rRNA from 1 species